ACCCGCUGAACUUAAGCAUAUCAAUAAGCGGAGGAAAAGAAACCAACAGGGAUUGCCCUAGUAACGGCGAGUGAAGCGGCAACAGCUCAAAUUUGAAAUCUGGCUCUUUCAGGGUCCGAGUUGUAAUUUGCAGAGGGCGCUUUGGCGUUGGCAGCGGUCCAAGUUCCUUGGAACAGGACGUCACAGAGGGUGAGAAUCCCGUACGUGGUCGCUAACCUUCGCCGUGUAAAGCCCCUUCGACGAGUCGAGUUGUUUGGGAAUGCAGCUCUAAAUGGGAGGUAAAUUUCUUCUAAAGCUAAAUACUGGCCAGAGACCGAUAGCGCACAAGUAGAGUGAUCGAAAGAUGAAAAGCACUUUGGAAAGAGAGUCAAAUAGCACGUGAAAUUGUUGAAAGGGAAGCGCUUGCAGCCAGACUUGCCUGUAGUUGCUCAUCCGGACUCUUGUCCGGUGCACUCUUCUGCGGGCAGGCCAGCAUCAGUUUGGGCGGUUGGAGAAAGGUCUCUAUCACGUACCUCCCUUCGGGGUGGCCUUAUAGGGGAGACGUCAUGCAACCAGCCUGGACUGAGGUCCGCGCAUCUGCUAGGAUGCUGGCGUAAUGGCUGUAAGCGGCCCGUCUUGAAACACGG
rnacentral:rRNA from 1 species